rnacentral:rRNA from 1 species
GAUGAACGCUGGCGGCGUGCCUAAUACAUGCAAGUCGAACGAACACACUAUGGACUUCCUCUCCUGACUUUAGCUCCGGACGUGGUAGUAACACGUUGAUAACCUACCUAGAAAUCUGGCAUAACGUCGGGAAUACGAAUCUAAUACCGCUUAAUAUAUUGAACCACAUGGUUAAAUAGUAAAAUACGGAUUUGAUGGCACUAAUAGAUUGAUCCACGCCCGAUUAUCUAGUUGGUAAGGUAACGGCUUACCAACGCAACGAUGCGUAGCCGACAUGGCAGGGUGAUCGGGCCCGAUGGAACGGAGGCACGGUCCAGAUUCGUACGGGAGGCAGCAGUAGGGAAUACUCGGCAAUGGACGAGAGCUUGACGGAGAAAGGCCGCGUGCGUGAUGAAGGUAUUCGGAGCGUAAAAAUAUGUUAUUAGGGAAGAAAAAAUGUGUAAGUAGCGACGAACGUCUUGACGGUACCUAAAGAGAAAGCCACGGCUAACUACGUG